rnacentral:rRNA from 1 species
GAUGAACGCUGGCGGCGCGCCUAACACAUGCAAGUCGAACGGUUGAAGCACCUUUUAGGUGUGUAUAAAGUGGCGAACGGCUGAGUAACACGUGGGCAACCUGCCCUCCUCUUGGGGAUAGCCUCGGGAAACCGAGGAUAAUACCCGAUACUUCAAUGUGGCCGCAUGACGACAUUGAGAAAGCUUUUGCGGGGAAGGAUGGGCCGGCGGCCUGUUAGCUUGUUGGUGGGGUAGAGGCUUACCAAGGCAAUGAUGGGUAGCUGGGUUGAGGGACCGACCAGCCGGAUUGAGACUGAGGCGCGGCCCAAAUUGCGACGGGAGGCAGCAGGGGGGAAGCUUGCACAAUCGGCGAAAGCCGGAUGCAGCGGCGCCGCGGGCGGGACAAAGGCCUUCGGGGGGUAAACCGCUUGCAGCAGGGACGAGGCGAUAAGUGACGGUACCUGCAGAAGAAGCCCCGGCUAACUACGUG